GGAAUAUUGGUCAAUGGGCGGAAGCCUGAACCAGCCAUGCCGCGUGCGGGAUGAAGGCCCUACGGGUUGUAAACCGCUUUUCCCCGGGAAGAAUAACCCCGAUGAGUCGGGGGAUGCCGGUACCGGGGGAAUAAGGAUCGGCUAACUCCGUGCCAGCAGCCGCGGUAAUACGGAGGAUCCGAGCGUUAUCCGGAUUUACUGGGUUUAAAGGGUGCGUAGGCGGCCCUGCAAGUCAGCGGUGAAAUGUGGCGGCUCAACCGUUUCGCUGCCGCUGAUACUGUUUAUCUGGAAUGCGGUUGAGGGAGACAGAAUUCCUGGUGUAGCGGUGGAAUGCGCAGAGAUCAGGAGGAAUACCGAAGGCGAAGGCAGUCUUCUAAGCCGAUAUUGACGCUAAACUGCGAAGGUGUGGGGAUCAAACA
rnacentral:rRNA from 1 species